rnacentral:rRNA from 1 species
UACGGGGGGGGCAAGCGUUGUUCGGAAUUACUGGGCGGAAAGGGUUCGUAGGUGGCCAACUAAGUCAGACGUGAAAUCCCUCAGCUUAACUGGGGAACUGCGUCUGAUACUGGUUGGCUUGAGUGCAGGAGAGGAAUGCGGAAUUCCAGGUGUAGCGGUGAAAUGCGUAGAUAUCAGGAGGAACACCGGUGGCGAAGGCGGGUCUCUGGGCCGAUACUGACGCUGAGGAGCGAAAGCGUGGGGAGCGAACAGG